CGACUUGGAAAAUCAAUGGGUAUUGUUGCUAAAGAAAUUAAAGCAAUGUCUCAAAAAGAUAUAAUAGCAUUUGAGGAGGCUGGAGAAGUUACUAUUGCUUCACACACUCUAAAGCUGGCUGAUAUCAAGGUUGUUCGGGAAUUCAAACGUCCUGCUGGUUUGACAGAGAAGGAGAUAGAUGCUGCUGGAGAUGGUGAUGUUUUGGUGAUUAUGGAUCUGCGUCCUGAUGAAUCAUUGUACGAGGCUGGUGUUGCUCGUGAGGUUGUUAAUAGAAUUCAGAAGUUGCGGAAAAAAGUUGCCCUUGAACCUACAGAUGUGGUGGACGUUUAUUUUGAAUCAUUAGAUGAAGAUAAGUCAAAGUUAGAACGAGU
rnacentral:misc_RNA from 1 species